rnacentral:rRNA from 1 species
CAGCCGCCACGGUAAUACGUAGGUGGCAAGCGUUGUCCGGAAUUAUUGGGCGUAAAGGGCGUGUAGGCGGCCUGGGGCGUCCCAUGUGAAAGGCCACGGCUCAACCGUGGAGGAGCGUGGGAUACGCUCAGGCUAGAGGGUGGGAGAGGGUGGUGGAAUUCACGGAGUAGCGGUGAAAUGCGUAGAGAUGUGGAGGAACACCAGUGGCGAAGGCGACUCUCUGGUCUGUAACUGACGCUGAGGAGCGAAAGCGUGGGGAGCGAACAGGAUUAGAUACCCCAGUAGUCCCUGUCUCUUAUAC